rnacentral:rRNA from 1 species
AGAGUUUGAUCAUGGCUCAGGACGAACGCUGGCGGCGCGCUUAACACAUGCAAGUCGAGCGAGAACCAGGGCUUCGGCUCUGGGGACAGCGGCGAACGGGUGAGUAACACGUGGGUAAUCUGCCCUUGACAUCGGGAUAGCCCGGGGAAACCCGGAUUAAUACCGAAUAGCCUCCGGAGCCUUCGGGCGCCGGAGAAAAGGUAGCUUCGGCCUCUGGUCAAGGAUGAGCCCGCGGCGGAUUAGCUUGUUGGCGGGGUAACGGCCCGCCAAGGCGACGAUCCGUAGCUGGUCUGAGAGGACGAUCAGCCACACUGGGACUGAGACACGGCCCAGACUCCUACGGGAGGCAGCAGUGGGGAAUCUUGCGCUAAUGCGGGAAACCGUGACGCAGCGACGCCGCGUGGGGGAAGAAGGCCUUCGGGUUGUAAACCUCUUUCAGGAGGGACGAAGCUACUCGGGUUAAUAGCCCAGAGGGUGACGGUACCUCCAGAAGAAGCCCCGGCUAACUACGUGCCAGCAGCCGCGGUA